CCCAUUUCUGACAUUAGCAAAGCAGUAAUGAUUUCCAGGAGCCCAGAUGAAAUUCCACAGCCAACUGGGAGCACUGGCAGCAACAUAGAGGGUGAGGUGAUAGUCCAAUUGAGCCAAUGUCUUUUUAACCCAACUGGAUCAUCUGGAUAUCAACACAGUGCUACCGCAGGUUCAGUCAGGAUGAAGUUAUACAGCUACACAAUACUUUGCGAAGGGGUGCCAGAUGAUCUGUAGCUGCCCUGCGCCUCACACUUAGUAAAAGAAGGCAGGUUGUACUUGAACCUUGUCAAGAAUCCCAAUGAGGAAGAAGAAUUCAGCAGGAAAACUUUUGAGUCUCCUGAGGCAACUACUACCAAGUUGAAUCAGUGCUAGGAAUCUGUUCUUUUCCAAAAAUGAAAUUUCUGAAGAAUUUGCUGGAUGCUGCAGACAUUUUGCUGAGAGCUAAAUCAUGCUAAUGGUGUUACAAUACAGUAGCACACUUGAUUGAAAGGAACAAGAAUCAUUUUGAGGCCUAUAGAUGCUGGCUGGCACUACUUCUAUUCAUUUUAAUAGGACUCGCAGACAAGACAAUCUCUGUAAAGUUCACACAAGCAAUCUGAUAGGAGACAGAGAAUUUAAUCCAACCAAUGAUUGAGUCCAAGUGCAUUAUCUGGUCAUCUUCAAUUUGUCUCUUUUCACCUUCCACCCAUGACCAAACAUUCAGAUGAUACCACUCUGGUGGCCAAAAGUGAGGAAGAGCUGAGGAGCCUUAUCACCAAGGUGAAAGAAGAAAGUGAUACCAGAGAAACACACGUUUCAACCAUUUUCAAAUAUUUUCAAAUUUUCAUCUGUAAGGCAGACACAGACUGACAGACAGACAUAUAAAUGUAUUUGUUCUCAGCAAGAUGAUUGAUACCACUGUCAGUCCAAAUCCUCCUGAAUAAUGUAUAGUGGCAAACUAUAUAAUGUGUCUGAUUGUAUAUUCCUAUCAUAUUUACCACUGAGUUUCCUUUGCCUCACCACAGCAUUUUUUAAAAGAAAGUUUGGGCUCCCUCAUACAUUAAUGCAUUAUUAACAAUCAUUUCUCUUGCUUUCUAGAAUUAUAGACUCAAGGAUAUCAACCUGCCAAGAACUGCAUGCACACUGGCAUCUUAAUAUGUGUCAUAAACCCCCUCUCUGCAAAGAAAAACACAUCUUCAAAUUACACAGAAGGAAGAUUAAACUAGGACAGCAUGCACCCCUUCAAUGCACAAAGUUUUCUGUAACAUCAGUUUCAGGAUUCAUUAGUUUUGAUGCUAAUAAUUUAAAGUAACUGUCAAGAGACUGCAUGUGGGAAGGAAACAGCUUUGAAAAAAGGUGAUGAAUCCUAUAAUCAUGUGCAGUUUGAAGGUAAUAUGGCAUUAAAUACAUCAAGAAUUUGAUGUGUACUAAAAACGGAAUUUCAAACUCAGUCUCUCUCUAGCAGUAUAAAUUUAGAGUAGUACCCAGUGCAAUCCACAGUGUCUGAGAAAAAGGAACUUGGCUUUAAAUGGUAAAUAAUAAUUGCAUUGGAAAGUGCAAAAUAUGUCUCCCACCCCCUUUUAAAAAUAGACAUCAGACUAAUGAUUAAAAGAGAUUGACAGAAAUUUUCUAGUGAUGCUGGUAGAUCAUUAGGAACAGAACUUCACUGACAGCAAGUCUUUAGAUCAAAAUAAGAGUACUUUAGAAGAGUCUCACCUGCGGAGUGAGAUCACUGCUCCUCUAAUGCCAUUACUCUGAGUCGUGAUAUCUGUAGUGCUAUAUAAUACAGAGUGCAGACACAGAAUGGUGGUGAAAGCAGUUUGCAUUCAUCUUCAGUGCCCUGAAAAGCAGAGCAGAGCCAUAUUCUCUCAGAUCUAGUUUUGCGGUUUCAUUCAUCCAUGAAGCAAAGGAUUGAAGAAGUGAAAAGAUUGCCCACUGGGACAAGAGAAAGAAGCAAAUCUCUUCCAUUCCAUGCUGUUCUGCAACUUGUAGAAUAGCAAUACUCAGGAGUAUAAGAUAAAAUCA